AUUGAACGCUGGCGGCAUGCCUUACACAUGCAAGUCGAACGGCAGCGCGGACUUCGGUCUGGCGGCGAGUGGCGAACGGGUGAGUAACAUAUCGGAACGUGCCCUGGAGUGGGGGAUAACUAGUCGAAAGACUAGCUAAUACCGCAUACGCCCUGGGGGGGAAAGGGGGGUAUCACAAGACCUCAUGCUCGUGGAGCGGCCGAUAUCUGAUUAGCUAGUUGGUGGGGUAAAGGCGUACCAAGGCGACGAUAAGUAGCUGGUCUGAGAGGACGACCAGCCACACUGGGACUGAGACACGGCCCAGACUCCUACGGGAGGCAGCAGUGGGGAAUUUUGGACAAUGGGGGCAACCCUGAUCCAGCAAUGCCGCGUGAGUGAAGAAGGCCUUCGGGUUGUAAAGCUCUUUUGUCCGGGAAGAAAUCCCAUCCCUGAAUACGGGAUGGGGAUGACGGUACUGGAAGAAUAAGCACCGGCUAACUACGUGCCAGCAGCCGCCGUAA
rnacentral:rRNA from 1 species